AGGGUUUGAUCAUGGCUCAGAAUGAACGCUGGCGGCGUGCUUUACACAUGCAAGUCGAGCGAGGCGGCCCGCAAGGGCCAGUCGAGCGGCGAACGGGUGAGUAACACGUGGAUCAUCUGCCCAGAGGUGGGGGAUAACCCGGGGAAACUCGGGCUAAUACCGCAUAUGACCGGAAGGUCAAAGGGGGGUCGCAAGAUCUCUCGCCAUUGGAGGAGUCCGCGUCCGAUUAGCUAGUUGGUAGGGUAAUGGCCUACCAAGGCGACGAUCGGUAGCCGGCCUGAGAGGGUGAUCGGCCACACUGGAACUGAGACACGGUCCAGACUCCUACGGGAGGCAGCAGUGGGGAAUUUUGCGCAAUGGGCUAACGCCUGACGCAGCAACGCCGCGUGGAGGAUGAAGGUCUUUGGAUUGUAAACUCCUGUCAGCAGGGAAAAAGCGACUCGGACUCAUACUCCGGGGUGUUGAUUGUACCUGCAGAGGAAGCCCCGGCUAACUCUGUGCCAGCAGCCGCGGUAAUACAGAGGGGGCAAGCGUUAUUCGGAAUUAUUGGGCGUAAAGGGCGCGUAGGCGGCCUGGCAAGUGGAAGGUGAAAUCCCUCGGCUUAACCGAGGAAUUGCCUUCCAUACUGCUUGGCUUGAGACCAGGAGAGGUGAGUGGAAUUCCCAGUGUAGCGGUGAAAUGCGUAGAUAUUGGGAGGAACACCAGUGGCGAAGGCGGCUCACUGGACUGGUACUGACGCUGAGGCGCGAAAGCGUGGGGAGCAAACGGGAUUAGAUACCCCGGUAGUCCACGCCGUAAAC
rnacentral:rRNA from 1 species